rnacentral:lncRNA from 1 species
AGGGAGGAAUGAACAAGAGCAAGCCCAGUGGGAGAGAUGACUGACCAGGAAUAUCGUGGGGAGAAAGGGGAGGCUCCCUCCUGCUAACACGGCUUCUCUGGUCAGUCCUUGGAGAUUCAUAGGACCAAAGGGUUUCAAGGGAGUGCUAAGAGACCUUAAGCAUCAGGAUCAAGUCCAGACCUCUCAAUGGACAGAGAAGCUUAUUCAUUUAAAAUCAUCCUGAGAAUGGCUUCACCAGACUACGAGAAGGUUAAGAACUACUGAACAUCCAGUCCCAGGCUUCCAAGCUCCAGCCAAGGAGUCCAAAGACAGGGAUGAUUGGUGAAUGGGCCUCUUCAACUGACCACUCACCAGUCUAUCAGCUCUAGGUCAAGUUUGGGUACUACACUACCCCAGUUGUUGACCUUGGAGGCCCUUCUCGCCCAAGUACACAAAUUAAGCAGAACCAUCUUUGGUAGGAUAUCACCUGGGAUGCUAGGUGACCAUUUUUCAGGAAUAUUAAGAAGGCUUCACUGUCAUAGUGGAAAGAGUGACUACUUCAAAUCCCAGCUUUGCUGAUCACUAGCUAUGAGAUCUCAGUAACAUCAACAUCAUCAUCAUCCUUCAAUGUUUCUUCAAUGGAUAUGAUCUGUUCCAUAGGAGGUAGGUUCAUUUUUGAAACUAGCAAUUGUUUUUCCACUCUAAUGGUUUGCCUAUUAGGUUGUUUGUUUUUAAGAAUCAGUUGCUAGUUUUAUUUACCAAUGCAAUGUUUUGUUUUUGUUUUUUGCUUUCAAUAUUAUAAGCUUUCUUAUUUUAAUUUUUUAAAUUUAAUUUCUCUUUUGGUGUUUACUUGGAAGAGCUGAUUGAUGCUCUUCUGUUUUUUUUUUUUUAGUUGAAUAUCCAAUCCAUUGAUCUUUCUUUAUCUUUUUGCUAAUGAAAAUGUUUUCAGAUAAAAAAAAAAUUCCCCUAAGGAUUACUUCAGUUGAAUAUUCAAAGUUUUAGGAAAAUAUGUAAUUGUCAUUUUCUUUAUGAAGUUAUCAAAUGGUUCAGUGAUUCAUUCUUUAGCCUAUCUGUUAUUUAGGAUUAAUUUAUUUAUCUCCAAUUAUUUUUAAUCCUCUCUUCAAAGAACUUUCAUUGGAUAUAACUUUAUUGUUUAUGGUCAGCAAAUUAUGGGCUU